rnacentral:tRNA from 1 species
UGGCUAAGAUGGUAAAGAAUCUGCCUGCAGUGCAGAAGACCAGGGUUUGAUCCCUG